rnacentral:lncRNA from 1 species
GGGACCCUCAGGACAACGCAGGUGAUGUGCAUAUAGGAAGCCAGGAGGCAAAGAAAUGGGGUGAUCGUGACUAGGGCAGCCUCAGUAAGAAUCAUCACUUCACUGAGGUGUGUGUCUGAACAGGAGAGUUUCAGGAGGGGAGUCACAUCGCAGAAGAAGUGAGUGAUGGCAUUGUCUGCACAGAAUGAGAGUGGAGCCAUCAGCAGGGUGUGCAGAAGGACAUUCAGGUUGGCAACCACCCAUAAUCCAGCAACCAGCAGGGCACAGAGCUGAUGGGUCAUCUUUGCUGUGUAAUGUAAGGGGUGGCACACGGCGACAAAGUGGUCAUAGGCCAUCACAGCUAGGAGGAAAUUGUCCAUGUCCACGAACAUGAAAACGAAAUACAUCUGUGUGAGACAGCCACAGAAGGAGAUGGUCUGAGUCUCGAGUAUGUGAUUGGCCAGCAUCUUGGGGACGGUGGUGAAGGAGAAGCAGAUGUCCACAAAAGACAGGUUGCUGAGGAAGAAGUACAUGGGGGUGUGCAGGCAGGAGUCUAUGCUUACGGACAGGAUGAUGAGCAGGUUCCCCAGGACAGUGGCCAGGUACAUGCUGAGGAAGAACACAAAGAGGAGAUGCUGCUGCUGGGGCUGCCUGGAGAGUCCCAGGAGGAGGAACUCGGAGACACUCGACUGGUUUGUCCCGCUCAUGGGCCUGGGAUCCUGGACACAGAGGCAGACAAAGAAGACGAAAUGCAAAAGCUUGGAAAAUGCUGGUUAAGAUGGGGCACAGGAAUGGCAGUAGAAUUUUGCUUGCAGGAUGUAAAUGAUAAUAUUGUCAACCCUGCUGGGGCUGCUACUGCUAUGUUCAGGGCUCAGGUUUACAGAAGUCUGAGCCAGGCCUUCUUGGCUAUAUCCACG